rnacentral:rRNA from 1 species
CAGUAGCCGCGGUAAUACGGAGGGUGCAAGCGUUAAUCGGAAUUACUGGGCGUAAAGCGCACGCAGGCGGUCUGUCAAGUCGGAUGUGAAAUCCCCGGGCUCAACCUGGGAACUGCAUCCAAAACUGGCAAGCUAGAGUAUGGUAGAGGGUGGUGGAAUUUCCUGUGUAGCAGUGAAAUGCGUAGAUAUAGGAAGGAACACCAGUGGCGAAGGCGACCACCUGGACUGAUACUGACACUGAGAGACGAAAGCUAGGGGAGCAAAUGGGAUUAGAUACCCCAGUAGUCCCUGUCUCUUAUAC